UGUUGCGCAAUUUGUGCAGUAUCUUAGCUAACGCGUUAAGUAUCCCGCCUGGGGAGUACGCUCGCAAGGGUGAAACUCAAAGGAAUUGACGGGGGCCCGCACAAGCGGUGGAGCAUGUGGUUUAAUUCGAUGCAACGCGAAGAACCUUACCAGGGCUUGACAUACUACAAAUCUUUUCGAAACGAAAGAGUGCCUUCGGGAAUGUAGAUACAGGUGGUGCAUGGCUGUCGUCAGCUCGUGUCGUGAGAUGUUGGGUUAAGUCCCGCAACGAGCGCAACCCUCAUUUUUAGUUGCCAAUUUAUUGGGAUUUCUAGAGAGACUGCCGGUGACAAACCGGAGGAAGGUGAGGAUGACGUCAAGUCAGCAUGCCCCUUAUGCCCUGGGCCACACACGUGCUACAAUGGCGAAGACAAAGAGUCGCAAACCUGCGAAGGCUAGCUAAUCUCGUAAACUUCGUCUAAGUUCGGAUUGUAGGCUGCGACUCGCCUGCAUGAAGUUGGAAUCGCUAGUAAUCGCUGGUCAGCUAUACAGCGGUGAAUUCGUUCCCGGGCCUUGUACACACCGCCCGUCACACCAUGGGAGCUGGUCAUACCCAAUAUCGUUAGCCUAACCAUUCGGAGGGCGGCGCUUAAGGUAGGGCUAGUGACUGGGGUG
rnacentral:rRNA from 1 species